GCUGAAUUAAGCCGUUCAGUCGCCGCCUGUAGAUAAAAGGAUGAGGAGCUCGGUGUUCCGUCAUUUGAACCUGCAGUCAAAGAGAGUGGAGCUGGUCUGUGUCUGGUUUAAUGUUGACGCUUCAACGGCGUUCUUUUUGACGAGGAUGACGCAGACUCCAGUUUUUCUCCAGCACAGUCAAGGUUCCUAUCACUCAUCACAGAGAAUGAGCUUAAAGAGGACAACACUGUGUGGAGGGUGCUCUAGUGCAUCAGGGUGGAAGAUGGGGUGAAUUCCUCAAGAACUAAAAUCUGCAGUCGUUGCAGAGAAUGGCCUUCAGUAAAAGUCAUAAAGCUGCUCGGCUGUAUUAGCAUGCUGGGUUCAGGGAGUUCUGGAUGGACAGAAGCAAAUGUGGAUCAGCACCACUGCACCUGAUUCUGGGAUGAACGUCUUCAGUUAUGCCCACCAGCUGUAAAUCCGUUGCGUCACCAAAGCUGCAGCCGGCUGAAUGGAUGUUUCUGUGAAGGAUAGACCUGCAGAUUCUCCAGAACUAGUGUUGGUGGUCAGAGUUCCUGAAGCUGGGCAUUUAUUGCCACGGAUACAAGGCUAAUCUGUGGAUCCUCCAGACUGUUAAAGCUGGCUGGACGUCAACGUUGAUGGACCUGCAAUCAAAGAUAACUCAGCUUUUUUUUUUUUUUUUUUUUUUUUUUUUUUUUUUUUUUUUGCCCUGCUCUUUGAAAGUUGGCUGUAGUCUUAAACAUUAAUUUAAUGUUAAACAAAAAACAAGCUAGCAGUUUUUUGUGAUUAUAAAUGAGUUGUUCUUAGACUUAAAAUGACUGUUUGUUCUGUACAAGUAAAUAAAAAAAACAAUAGGUGUGGAAAGAUUUUGUUUUGGUUUUUAUUGGUCUUCUCUUAGUGAAACUGUCACUCAAACACGGUUUAACCAGUAAGGGGUGUUGAGUUGUAGACUAUAGACACUGUCGCUUUCUCUUUGGACUGCAUUGCAUUGAGCAAAUACUAUAAAUAUUUGAUGGAUAUGAUUUGUGCAAACUUUUCAAGAUCUAACUCUGUGACAUGAAGAAGAAUCCUGGAGAAUGUAAAUUGCAUAAUGUUAAUUUUAACACUAA
ensembl:lncRNA